AGUCACCGUGCAAGAACUACUCCAUCUGCCAUGUUGGACUUACUGUAAAGAGUCACGUGACCGUUGGAAACGUCAUCCUUAUACUGACUGGGAUUUCCUGACCCUUGAAGACGACGCGCCUCUUGCACACACACUUAGCGACAGAUCCGGCAGCAGCCUGGGGGUGAAGGCUCUCUCCAGGCAUUCGCCGUUUAGGUUCAAGGACUGCCCCGUACUUCGCUCUGUCCAUCUUCACAUCAUCAACUCUGACCAGCUUUCUGUCCCUGACAAACGAAAAGCUUUCCAAAACACGAUGCUUCACCGUCGGGACGGUGCAGCGGCGAUGACAGCAGCAAAAACAACCGACAGACACGCCCCGUCUAAGUCAGCCCGGGCCGCUUCUCAUCACCCCCGCG